UCAUCGGGAUGCGAAUGCAAAACCACCCCUCAGCUCUCCCGAGGUAUCACCGCAACUUUUCCUGUUGUCCCAGAGUCACUGGCAAGUAAAAUGCAGGAAAUGUUCUUUAUUUGGCAGAAGAGCGGCACCCUGUGGCUCGUGCUCGACUUUGCUUUGAAAUACUUAAAAAUCUCUCCGACUUCCUCUGGUGCAUGCUGGUUAUUAUUGUAGCACAAGCUUGAAGUUAUUUUAGUCCAUGAAAGGCAGCAGAUUUCUUUUUAGAGACCUGAUGAUACUCUGCAUAUGAGAUAAGAGUGCACUGGGGGCAAGAAUAUGAUUCUAUCUUCAAAAUGCUAUUAAAACAAAAUUUUGUGUGUAUUUAUUUUCAUUAUUCACCGAACAUCUCUGAGGUAUUUACAGGCAAUUUAUGUCCUACAGUAUGGAAUAAAAUUAGUCAGACUGGACCUGGACCUCAAGUAGUGCCUUGCGUAGGGCUUUGUGAACCUGAUCCCCUGAUAUUUAGAAACCUAACAUGUAUUAUUUCAAUUCAUUUCUCAAAUAAGAAGCCUGCUGGUAAUUUCUGCAGGCGCUGUGUUCUGCUGGUGCAAAGGACUCCCAAAAAUGAGGCAGCAAUCUGACCACCUUCCAGUAUCACACCUCCUGUGCCCCCUGUGACACCUUUGGGUACCAUGAUCACUCACAGCCUCUUCAAAAAAUCCUGCCACACCUGCCAAAAAAAACGUGAGGCAGUGACAGAAAAUAAGCCACAAAAUAAGUUUGCACUCUUAUUGCUCUGUGGUUUAAUUUAUUCUUUGUUAACAAACCCUAAUAUCACUACCAUUUGUUCCACAGCCCAUGUGCUGAUAUUUCUUUAAUAAUAAAUCUCUGCAGAGGUUAGUGCUCUACUUGGAAAGAAGUGAAAAUGUUGAUGUGUCUGUUUUUUGCUGGCCACAAAAUUUUCAGCACUCAGCAGGGCUCAGCAGAAGUCCCAGUCUCUAGAAGAAUAAAUUAUAACUAAAACAAACAGAGAAGUAUAAAGGAUUUCUACUGCACCGUGGGCAGAAUUCCAGUUGUGUAGGGCACAACAGGGCUUUACUAAGGUCAUGCUGCCCAGAACCAGACCAGCCUGUGAAUCUCCUCUAUCUGCACAUUGUUAUGUAACUUACACAUGAUUCUUUCAUAAUCUUUGGCACAAACUAUUUGUGCCCCAUCCUAAUUUUGCACCUGUAUUUUCAGGGGUUUAUCUCAGACACUGAAGCAGUGGAUGAACAGCUGCUGCUAGCUGACAGAUAUAUUGAAAUGAGAUAUUUAUCUCAGAUAUAUUGAAAUGAGAAUCACAGUUCCAGAACAGCAAUUGCCCCUCCACUUGGGGCUGGAGUGGAGGCAACACUACCAAGGCAAGAAAUCCCACAGCAAUCUGACAACAAAUGUAUCUAUUAGACUAUCCCCUCUGUGCAGAAAAAGGAGUGCAGAACAGUGAAGAUACCUGACUUACUUUAAAAUUACUGCACUGGAUCUGUAGCAGGUACCAACAUGAACAGCAGCAGAGGAGAAGUGUGCUGAGCACAGACACAUCUGGCAAUGCCUCAGAGCUCUGAGCAGCAUCCCCACAUUUUCUCUGCAAUCCAAUUUCCAUGAGCUCCGAAGCUCUGAGAUAAAACAAAGCUAUGACAGCCAACAACCAGUGGCAUCUAACUGAACUUCAGGCCACUGAAUUAUGGUGGAAGGAAUGUGGCAGUAUUUCCUACUUCUGCUUUUCCAGCCUGGCAGGCAUGUCUAGUCUUUCAGACUUCCAGCGCUUCCAGAAAAUGUAGCUGCUAAUACACACCAGUUGUGUUAAAUUGGAAGAACAUCCCCUUAAGUGUUUACACUGAUUUUGAAAUUCAAAAGAAGUAAUCCCAAACCCCAAUUAUCUUUUGAAAAAGUAAAGAAAGCACCAAAUCUUUGAGGAGGGUUGAUUAAAUUCUCCACCCUUUUAAAUGUUAAAGGAUGUUAUUUUUAAGCUGUGUGCUAAACACGAGGGAUCUCUGAUGAUUCCCAGUGCAGCCGGCAGGGCAGCAUUUGCUGCCAGAUAGGUGUAAUAGGGAACGGAGUGCUUUUUUUGUGGAGGGCUGGAACACCUUUUUAUUUCUUGUAACUUGUUACAACUUGUAAAUUGUGUAACUGUUCAUGCAUUUUGGCCACUAUAUGUUCGCCAUCUUCAUUAUUGAGGUCCUGUUCUGGAUUUUUAAGUCCAGCAGUUUAAUUUCUCCUUUGGCUCAUUUAUUUGCUAGAUGCCUGAAAUUGUGCAAUUAGGGCUGAGGAAGAACCAGAUAUGGUGUGACAGAUGCAAGCUGUCAUAGAGUCGUUAGGAAGUAGAGAUAGUUUCUGCCAGCACGCAGGAACACUGCCCAGGAGGUACAGGAGGGUUUUCCACAAUUAUUGAGGUGGUAGAGGUUGGCUGCAAGUCUUACCAUGACCCCUGUGUUUUAUAACUUGAGAAGACUUUGAUCUUUGGCACAAACUAUUUGUCUCUCUUUAGUCUGUGCAAAACUGCCAGUUACAUGGGAACAGCAAAGUUCCACACAUGCAGACUUUGGUCAGAAAAUCAGACUGCAGUCUGCUCCCUGAGCUGCAGAAGUUUAGCAAAAUUACCUACACUGCUGGGUAGUAAGUGAAAGAACAUUUCUCUCAAUUGCAAAAUUACUCUGCAUUUUCUGCCAGCUGUGAAAUUUAAGCUAGUGAAAAGCUGCUUUUCUGCAAUGGUCAAUGCCGACUGUAAUAUUACACACAGUCUUUUAGGUAAGAACUGACAGUACUUUUGUACUACUUUCACACAUUAGACCUAAGUUUAGAUUGGUUUAGAAAGAAUGUUUAAGAAUCAUGCUUUUAGCUGAUUGGAUGUUUUACAAAUAAAAACACCCUGUUUUGAGGUGUUUGUUAUGAAGGGAGGAAGAAGGAAAGAAGGAAAGAAGGAAAGAAGGAAAGAAGGAAAGAAGGAAAGAAAGAAAGAAGGAAGAAGGAAGAAGAAAGAAGAAAAGAUAGAAGAAAACAAAGAAAAGAAGAAGAAAGAAGAAAAGAAGAAAGAAGAAGAAAGAAGAAAAGAAAGAAGAAAGAAGCUGUGGUUCCUGCUGCUGCUGCUUGGGACAUUGGACUGUAUGCCUGGGAACACCUGUUGCUGCUGCUGCUUAGAACUCUUUGCCUUCGAGACUGAUGUAUUCAUGCAAUAAACAACUUUAUAGCAACCAA